UCUAACACAGGGUCUCAUUCGAUCACCGAAGUUAAGCAACGUCGAGCGUCGUCAGUAUCUAGAUGGGUGACCGCUUCGGAAGACAGAGUACUGUAAG